AUUGAACGCUGGCGGCAGGCCUAACACAUGCAAGUCGAGCGGAGCGGCGGACGGGUGCGUAAUGCCUAGGCAUCUGCCUGGUAGUGGGGGAUAACGUCCGGAUACGGGCGCUAAUACCGCUACCUUUCACAUGAGCCUAGGUCGGAUUAGCUAUGUGGGGGGGUAAAGGCCUACCAAGGCGACGACCCGUAACUGGUCUGAGAGGAUGAUCAGUCACACUGGAACUGAGACACGGUCCAGACUCCUACGGGAGGCAGCAGUGGGGAAUAUUGGACAAUGGGCGAAAGCCUGAUCCAGCCAUGCCGCGUGGGUGAAGAAGGUCUUCGGGUUGUAAAGCACUUUAAGUUGGGAGGCGUUACCAAAAGAAUAAGCACCGGCUAACUUCGUGCCAGCAGCCGCGGUAAUAC
rnacentral:rRNA from 1 species